AAUCCAAUCACAACCGUAAUGUCUUGAAACACCUCAUCCCUCAUACUUUUCCUUUUUCAAGUGAUCACGCAACUUCACUACAGCUUCCUUUUCAGUUUUACCACAACUAAAAAAAAAAAAAAAGGAGAGAGAGAGAGUAGCAACUGAAAAAUGGAACAACUGAAGCCAAGUGCUGCAAACUCUUCACCUCUCACUCCACUAGGUUUCUUGGACAGAGCAGCAACUGUUUACGGAGACACACCUUCCGUUAUCUAUGACGGCGUUACCUUCACCUGGUCCGACACUCGCCGUCGCUGCCUCCAGCUGGCCUCUGCUCUCUCCUCCCUAGGAAUCCGCCGCGGCGACGUGGUGUCCGUCGUCGCACCAAACAUACCCGCCAUGUACGAGCUCCACUUUGCAGUCCCCUUCGCCGGCGCUAUCCUCAACAACAUCAACACACGCCUCGAUGCCAGAACCAUCUCCGUCAUCCUCCGUCACGCGGAGUCCAAGCUCGUCUUUGUGGACACAGCCUCACGUGAUGUUGUCCUCGAAGCUCUCUCUUUGUUCCCCGAAAAUCCCCGUCGUCCGAUCCUCAUCUUUAUAGCGGACGAUGCGGUCGAACGACUAACUCCAUCAUCAACCGUUCAUUUCAAAGACUCGUAUGAAGGUUUAAUCUCCAAGGGCGAUCCGAAUUUUAAAUGGUUAUAUCCUAACAGCGAGUGGGACCCGAUGAUACUUAACUACACCUCCGGAACGACGUCGUCUCCUAAAGGCGUAGUUCACUGCCACAGAGGAACCUUUGUUAUGACUGUUGAUUCGUUGAUAGAUUGGGCGGUUCCGAAACAACCGGUUUAUCUCUGGACUCUACCGAUGUUCCACGCUAACGGAUGGAGCUUCCCGUGGGGGAUGGCCGCCGUUGGAGGAACGAAUAUCUGCGUCCGCAAAUUCGACGCGCGGAUCGUGUUCUCCCUCAUCACGCGCCACCGCGUAACUCACAUGUGUGGCGCGCCGGUGGUGUUGAACAUGCUCACAAACGCUCCCGACAACAAGCCGUUGGAGAAUCCCGUUCACAUCCUUACCGCCGGAGCGCCACCUCCCUCGGCGGUGCUCCACCGCACGGAGUCUUUAGGAUUCAUAGUCAGCCACGGGUACGGCCUGACCGAGACUGGAGGACUGGUCGUGUCGUGCGCGUGGAAGAGGAAGUGGAACCAUUUCCCGGCGGCGGAGAGGGCGAGGUUGAAGUCUCGUCAGGGAGUAAGAACAUGCCUACUGACGGAAAUGGACGUGGUGACCCCAGCGGGAGAAAGCGUGAAGCGUGAUGGGGUAACGCUGGGUGAGGUAGUUAUGCGCGGAAGCUGUGUGAUGCUUGGAUACCUUAAAGAUCCCGAAGGAACAAGAAAAUGUUUCAAAAAUGGUUAUUUCUACACCGGCGAUGUUGGUGUGAUGCAUGAAGACGGUUACUUGGAGAUAAAGGAUAGGUCAAAGGACGUUAUAAUCAGCGGCGGCGAGAACUUGAGCAGCGUGGAGGUGGAAUCCGUGCUUUAUAUGCACCCAGCAGUGAACGAGGCGGCGGUGGUGGCGAGGCCGGACGAGUACUGGGGGGAAACGCCGUGCGCGUUCGUGAGCGUGAAGGAGGGGAAGGCGGUGACGGAGAAGGAGAUAAUUGAGCAUUGCAGGAAGAACAUGCCAAAGUAUAUGGUUCCCAAAACGGUUGCGUUUAGGGAGGAGCUUCCAAAGACUUCCACCGGAAAGAUUCAGAAGUUUGUUCUGAGACAAAUUGCUCAAGAAAUGGGACCCAUCAGACACAGCAAAAUGUGAAUAAGUUGCUUUGCGUUGAUUCUUAGCAUGGAAUUUUUGUAACAAACAUGGAAAGUUUUUCGGCAGUUCGCCAUCUUUUCAGUAGUUUUUCGGCAGCUGGCCACUCUUGCGGCAGUUCCGUUUGCAUUCUUUUCCGACAGUUCCAUCUGCGUUCCCUUUCGGCAGUUUCGUCUACACUUCCUUCCGACGGUUUCAUUUGCGUUUUCUUGUGGCAGUUCCGUCUGUUUUCUUGUGGCAGUUCCGUCUGCGUUUCUUUGUGGCAAUUCCGUUUGCGCUUCCUUGUGGUAGUUCCGUUUGCGCUUCCUUCAAGCAGUUCUGUUUGCACCAAUUCUAUCAAUUUAUCCAUUUUUUUAUUUAGUUGUUUCAAAUAAGUUUCAAACUCAAGUUGUCAUUUGAGUUUGGGGAAGGAUGUUAGAGUAUAAUUAGGAUAAAUUAGAUCAAUUAGCAUUAUUUAAUAACAUAUCUGAAUAU